rnacentral:rRNA from 1 species
UACGUAGGGUGCGAGCGUUAAUCGGAAUUACUGGGCGUAAAGCGUGCGCAGGCGGUUUUGUAAGCCAGAUUUGAAAUCCCCGGGCUCAACCUGGGAAUGGCAUUUGGGACUGCAAGGCUGGAGUUUGGCAGAGGAGACUGGAAUUCCUGGUGUAGCAGUGAAAUGCGUAGAUAUCAGGAGGAAUACCGAUGGCGAAGGCAGGGCUCUGGGCUAUAACUGACGCUCAUGCACGAAAGCGUGGGGAGCAAACAGG